AGGACGAACGCUGGCGGCGCGCUUAACACAUGCAAGUCGAGCGAGAACCAGUCCUUCGGGACUGGGGACAGCGGCGAACGGGUGAGUAACACGUGGGUAAUCUGCCCUCGAUUCUGGGAUAGCCCGGGGAAACCCGGAUUAAUACCGGAUAGCCUCUUUAGCUUUCGGGCUUUUGAGAAAAGGUAGCUUCGGCCUCCGAUCGAGGAUGAGCCCGCGGUGGAUUAGCUUGUUGGUGGGGUAAUGGCCUACCAAGGCGACGAUCCAUAGCUGGUCUGAGAGGACGAUCAGCCACACCGGGACUGAGACACGGCCCAGACUCCUACGGGAGGCAGCAGUGGGGAAUCGUUGCGCAA
rnacentral:rRNA from 1 species